rnacentral:rRNA from 1 species
UAGGGAAUAUUGGACAAUGGGCGCAAGCCUGAUCCAGCCAUGCCGCGUGGAUGACGAAGGCCUUAAGGUUGUAAAAUCCUUUCGCUAGGGAAGAUAAUGACGGUACCUAGUAAAGAAGCACCGGCUAAUUUCGUGCCAGCAGCCGCGGUAAUACGAAAGGGGCUAGCGUUGUUCGGAAUUACUGGGCGUAAAGCGGGUGUAGGCGGACUGGUCAGUUGGGGGUGAAAGCCCGGGGCUCAACCUCGGAACUGCCUUCAAUACUGCCAGUCUUGAGUUCGGGAGAGGUGAGAGGAAUUCCGAGUGUAGAGGUGAAAUUCGUAGAUAUUCGGAGGAACACCAGAGGCCAAGGCGGCUCACUGGACCGAUACUGACGCUGUGACCCGAAAGCGUGGGGAGCAAACAGGAUUAGAUACCCCCCUAGUCC